UACGUAGGUGACCAGCGUUGUCCGGAUUUACUGGGCGUAAAGAGCGCGCAGGCGGUCGUUCAAGUCGAGUGUGAAAGCCCCCCGGCUCAACUGGGGAGGGUCAUUCGAUACUGAUCGACUUGAAGGCAGGAGAGGGAAGCGGAAUUCCCGGUGUAGUGGUGAAAUGCGUAGAUAUCGGGAGGAACACCAGUGGCGAAGGCGGGCU
rnacentral:rRNA from 1 species